rnacentral:tRNA from 1 species
GGGUAUCUAGCUUUUAAUAAUUAGUUUCGACCUAAUUUAUUGUGUCAGCUA